rnacentral:rRNA from 1 species
UGGGGAAUUUUGGACAAUGGGCGAAAGCCUGAUCCAGCAAUGCCGCGUGUGUGAAGAAGGCCUUCGGGUUGUAAAGCACUUUUGUCCGGAAAGAAAUCCUUGGCUCUAAUACAGUCGGGGGAUGACGGUACCGGAAGAAUAAGCACCGGCUAACUACGUGCCAGCAGCCGCGGUAAUACGUAGGGUGCAAGCGUUAAUCGGAAUUACUGGGCGUAAAGCGUGCGCAGGCGGUUUGCUAAGACCGAUGUGAAAUCCCCGGGCUCAACCUGGGAACUACAUUGGUGACUGGCAGGCUAGAGUAUGGCAGAGGGGGGUAGAAUUCCACGUGUANNAGUGAAAUGCGUAGAGAUGUGGAGGAAUACCGAUGGCGAAGGCAGCCCCCCUGGGCCAAAUACUGACGCUCAUGCACGAAAAGCGUGGGGGAGCAAAAGCAGGAUUCAGAUACCCCUGGUAGUCCACGCCCUAAACGAUGUCAACUAGUUGUUGGGGAUUCAUUUCCUUAGUAACGUAGCUAACGCGUGAAGUUGACCGCCUGGGGGAGUACGGUCGCAAGAUUAAAACUCAAAU